GAGGGUAGAGCUCAAUGGUAGAGCACGUGCUUAGCAUGCAGGAGGUCCUGGGUUCAAUCCCCAGUGCCUCCA
rnacentral:tRNA from 1 species